UACGUAGGGAGCAAGCGUUGUCCGGAAUCAUUGGGCGUAAAGCGCGCGUAGGUGGCCUCAUAAGUCCGCUGUGAAAGUCAAAAGGCUCAACCUUUGAAAGCCGGUGGAUACUGUGGGGCUAGAGUACGGAAGAGGCGAGUGGAAUUCCUGGUGUAGCGGUGGAAUGCGCAGAUAUCAGGAGGAACACCAAUAGCGAAGGCAGCUCGCUGGGACGUUACUGACACUGAGGCGCGAAAGCGUGGGGAGCGAACAGG
rnacentral:rRNA from 1 species